rnacentral:rRNA from 1 species
CUUUUAUGGAGAGUUUGAUCCUGGCUCAGGACGAACGCUGGCGGCGUGCCUAAUACAUGCAAGUCGAGCGGACCUCACGUUUCUUCGGAAACGUAAGGUUAGCGGCGGACGGGUGAGUAACACGUAGGUAACCUGCCUGUAAGACUGGGAUAACAUUCGGAAACGGAUGCUAAUACCGGAUACGCGAAUCGGUCGCAUGGCUGAUUCGGGAAAGACGGAGCAAUCUGUCACUUACAGAUGGACCUGCGGCGCAUUAGCUAGUUGGUGAGGUAACGGCUCACCAAGGCGACGAUGCGUAGCCGACCUGAGAGGGUGAUCGGCCACACUGG